GGUGAGUAAUGUCUGGGAAACUGCCUGAUGGAGGGGGAUAACUACUGGAAACGGUAGCUAAUACCGCAUGAYGUCUUCGGACCAAAGUGGGGGACCUUCGGGCCUCACGCCAUCAGAUGUGCCCAGAUGGGAUUAGCUAGUAGGUGGGGUAAUGGCUCACCUAGGCGACGAUCUCUAGCUGGUCUGAGAGGAUGACCAGCCACACUGGAACUGAGACACGGUCCAGACUCCUACGGGAGGCAGCAGUGGGGAAUAUUGCACAAUGGGCGCAAGCCUGAUGCAGCCAUGCCGCGUGUAUGAAGAAGGCCUUCGGGUUGUAAAGUACUUUCAGCGAGGAGGAAGGCAUUAAGGUUAAUAACCUURGUGAUUGACGUUACUCGCAGAAGAAGCACCGGCUAACUCCGUGCCAGCAGCCGCGGUAAUACGGAGGGUGCAAGCGUUAAUCGGAAUUACUGGGCGUAAAGCGCACGCAGGCGGUUGAUUAAGUCAGAUGUGAAAUCCCCGAGCUUAACUUGGGAACUGCAUUUGAAACUGGUCAGCUAGAGUCUUGUAGAGGGGGGUAGAAUUCCAGGUGUAGCGGUGAAAUGCGUAGAGAUCUGGAGGAAUACCGGUGGCGAAGGCGGCCCCCUGGACAAAGACUGACGCUCAGGUGCGAAAGCGUGGGGAGCAAACAGGAUUAGAUACCCUGKUAGUCCACGCUGUAAACGAUGUCGACUUGGAGGUUGUGCCCUUGAGGCGUGGCUUCCGGAGCUAACGCGUUAAGUCGACCGCCUGGGGAGUACGGCCGCAAGGUUAAAACUCAAAUGAAUUGACGGGGGCCCGCACAAGCGGUGGAGCAUGUGGUUUAAU
rnacentral:rRNA from 1 species